rnacentral:sRNA from 1 species
GCCAGGCAUGGUGGUGCAUGCCUGUAAUCCCAGUGGUUCUGGAGGCUGAAGUAGGAGGAUCACAAGUGCAAAGCCAGCCUCAGCAAAAGCGAGGUGCUAAGCAACUCAGUGAGACCCUGUCUCCA